rnacentral:lncRNA from 1 species
UUAAUUCCAAUAUUAGAAAAACAUAAAAUUUAUAACUACUACUCCUAUCAUUCACAUUAUAUUCUAAAUACCCAUAAUAUAUAUCCUUGUAAAUAUCAAACCAUAAAACUGAUGUUAAAAAGUCACAAGCCCCCAACACCAAACAAAUAAUCUUCUUCUUCAUCAUCACAGUAGUGACCAAUAAUCAUCAACAUCACUAUUAGCAUAAUCUGAAUCCCCGUCUUCCUCGUCGUAGUCAGAAUCAUCAUCAUCAUCAUCCUCGUCUAGGUCAUCAUCAUCAUCGCUUUCCAUGACAUCAUCGUCGUCUUCUUCCUUUACUUCUGACUCUUUAAUUUCUUCACUUAACGAAAGUGGCACUAAAAAUAUUAAUGAUUCCAGCUUGCCGUUGGAUUCAAGUACUUGUGGGUAUUGGUUUUUUUGCUUCUUUGAUGUGCAAUAUUCAUCUUCC